rnacentral:tRNA from 1 species
GCCCGGCUAGCUAAGUCGGUAGAGCAUCAGACUUUUAAGUCAACUUAGACAACUGAGGGUCGGGGGUUCGAGUCCCCCGUUGGGCG